rnacentral:rRNA from 1 species
CCCUUAGAGUUUGAUCCUGGCUCAGAUUGAACGCUGGCGGCAUGCCUUACACAUGCAAGUCGAACGGCAGCGCGGGAGCAAUCCUGGCGGCGAGUGGCGAACGGGUGAGUAAUACAUCGGAACGUGCCCAAUCGUGGGGGAUAACGCAGCGAAAGCUGUGCUAAUACCGCAUACGAUCUACGGAUGAAAGCAGGGGAUCGCAAGACCUUGCGCGAAUGGAGCGGCCGAUGGCAGAUUAGGUAGUUGGUGAGGUAAAGGCUCACCAAGCCUUCGAUCUGUAGCUGGUCUGAGAGGACGACCAGCCACACUGGGACUGAGACACGGCCCAGACUCCUACGGGAGGCAGCAGUGGGGAAUUUUGGACAAUGGGCGAAAGCCUGAUCCAGCCAUGCCGCGUGCAGGAUGAAGGCCUUCGGGUUGUAAACUGCUUUUGUACGGAACGAAACGGCCUUUUCUAAUAAAGAGGGCUAAUGACGGUACCGUAAGAAUAAGCACCGGCUAACUACGUGCCAGCAGCCGCGGUAAUACGUAGGGUGCAAGCGUUAAUCGGAAUUACUGGGCGUAAAGCGUGCGCAGGCGGUUAUGUAAGACAGUUGUGAAAUCCCCGGGCUCAACCUGGGAACUGCAUCUGUGACUGCAUAGCUAGAGUACGGUAGAGGGGGAUGGAAUUCCGCGUGUAGCAGUGAAAUGCGUAGAUAUGCGGAGGAACACCGAUGGCGAAGGCAAUCCCCUGGACCUGUACUGACGCUCAUGCACGAAAGCGUGGGGAGCAAACAGAUUAGAUACCCUGGUAGUCCACGCCCUAAACGAUGUCAACUGGUUGUUGGGUCUUCACUGACUCAGUACGAAGCUAACGCGUGAAGUGACCGCC